GGGCCCGCCCCGCCGCGGCUGCGGCGCUGGAAGCCCCGGUCCUCCCGGAAGUUCCCGGCUCUGCCUGUCGGGCUCCGGUUCUGCGCCGCGGAGGGGCCCAGGGCUGCGGGGAUGGCGGAGGCGGUGCUGCUGCUGCCGCCCGAGGCGGUGGCCGAGCGGGACGCCCGCGAGAAGCUGUCUCUCUGGGAUGGGAGACCCGACUCGAUGGCGCCGCUGACAGACAAGCAGACGGACUCGGUGCUGGAGCUCAAGGCGGCCGUGGAGAACCUGCCGGUGCCGGCGGAGCUCCCAAUUGAAGAUGUAUGCAGCUUAGCAUCCCAGUCGCUGCCCAUUGAGCUGACUGCUGUAGUGCCUGACUCUACAGAAGACAUCCUGUUAAAGGGCUUCACUUCCUUAGGAAUGGAAGAAGAAAGGAUUGAGACUGCGCAGCAGUUUUUCUCAUGGUUUGCAAAACUGCAAACUCAGAUGGAUCAGGAUGAAGGAACUAAAUAUAGACAGAUGAGGGAUUACUUGUCUGGGUUUCAGGAACAGUGUGAUGCUAUACUGAAUGAUGUGAACAGUGCUCUGCAGCAUCUCCAGUCCUUGCAGAAACAGUAUCUUUUUGUGUCCAAUAAGACAGGAACUCUUCAUGAAGCCUGUGAACAGCUCCUAAAGGAACAGUCGGAGCUUGCUGAUCUUGCUGAGCACAUCCAACAGAAGCUGUCUUAUUUUAAUGAGUUGGAGACGAUUAACACAAAAUUGAAUUCCCCUACGUUGUCUGUGAAUAGUGAAGGAUUUAUCCCUAUGUUGGCCAAGUUAGAUGAUUGUAUAACAUAUAUUUCAUCUCAUCCUAAUUUUAAAGAUUAUCCUGUAUACUUACUGAAGUUUAAACAAUGUCUUUCUAAAGCUUUGCACCUCAUGAAGACAUAUACUGUGAACACACUGCAGACUCUCACAAAUCAGUUACUAAAAAGGGACCCCUCAUCAGUCCCUAAUGCAGACAAUGCCUUCACACUAUUUUAUGUGAAAUUUCGAGCUGCUGCCCCUAAAGUCAGAACUCUAAUUGAACAGAUAGAGCAACGAUCUGAAAAGAUACCCGAAUACCAGCACCUUCUCAAUGACAUCCACCAGUGUUACCUUGAUCAGCGAGAGCUCCUUUUGGGCCCAAGUAUUGCCUACACUGUCACAGAGUUAACCAGCCAGAACAACAGAGACCAUUGUGCCUUGGUUCGCAGUGGCUGUGCCUUUAUGGUCCAUGUCUGCCAAGAUGAACACCAACUUUACAAUGAAUUUUUCACAAAGCCAACAUCAAAAUUAGAUGAGCUAUUGGAGAAAUUGUGCGUGUCGUUGUAUGAUGUGUUCCGGCCCUUGAUCAUCCAUGUCAUUCACUUAGAGACUUUAUCAGAGCUCUGUGGGAUUCUUAAAAAUGAAGUGCUUGAAGACCACGUACAGCACAAUGCUGAACAACUGGGGGCAUUUGCAGCUGGAGUAAAGCAGAUGUUGGAAGAUGUACAAGAGAGGCUUGUGUAUCGAACCCAUAUCUACAUUCAGACGGACAUCACAGGCUACAAACCAGCGCCUGGAGAUCUGGCAUAUCCUGAUAAGCUAGUCAUGAUGGAGCAAAUCGCGCAGAGUUUAAAGGAUGAGCAGAAGAAGGCGCCUUCAGAGGCUUCCUUUUCAGAUGUACGGUUAGAAGAAGGAGAAGCCAGUGGUUUAAGGAAGUCUGGUUCAGCAGACUCCCUCAAUCCUAGACCACAGACGACGAUCUCUCCAGCAGAUCUUCACGGCAUGUGGUAUCCCACAGUUCGAAGGACGCUUGUCUGCCUCUCCAAAUUAUAUAGAUGCAUAGAUAGGGCCGUGUUCCAAGGAUUAUCACAGGAAGCCUUGUCUGCCUGCAUACAGUCCUUGCUAGGAGCAUCAGAGUCUAUCAGCAAAAACAAGACUCAGAUUGAUGGACAACUUUUCUUAAUUAAACACCUUUUGAUUCUUCGAGAACAAAUUGCUCCAUUUCACACUGAAUUCACCAUUAAGGAAAUUUCCCUGGACCUCAAGAAAACUAGAGAUGCAGCAUUUAAAAUCCUGAACCCUAUGACUGUUCCACGAUUUUUUAGGCUGAAUAGCAACAAUGCCCUGAUAGAGUUCUUGUUGGAGGGGACUCCUGAGAUCAGAGAACAUUAUCUUGACUCUAAGAAGGACGUAGACCGGCACCUGAAGUCAGCCUGUGAGCAGUUCAUUCAGCAGCAGAGCAGGCUGUUUGUAGAACAGCUGGAAGAGUUCAUGACAAAGGUAUCAGCAUUAAAAACCAUGGCCAGCCAGGGAGGCCCCAAGUACACCCUCUCACAGCAGCCGUGGGCACAGCCAGCAAAGGUCAAUGACCUCGUGGCCACUGCCUACAAGACAAUAAAGACGAAGCUGCCGCUGACACUGAGAAGCAUGGCUUUGUAUUUGUCCAAUAAGGACACGGAGUUCAUCUUGUUUAAGCCUGUCAGGGUGAGUGGGUGGGAGUUCGCUGCCUGGCGACCUAAGUGUGCUUUUCUUACUAGCAAGUUCUCUUCCUAUAGACAUUGCAAAGUGUUAGUGAGGUUGGUAUUUGCUGUGAUCUCAGAGGCUUCAGAGCCUGAUCUAUCUGGUUAUAUCUUAUGCCUCACCCACUUUGUCUUGAUAUUUUUGUUCAUUUUAAAGGUAGAAAUUAAUAAAUAAGCAAAAAAAUAGAUCCGCACAUUGCACUGUGGUUCAACACUGGGAGAGCAGCAUUUCAGAAUUUAUGCCCCGUUUUACUCGUGAGUAGAGGAAAUAAAUGGCUUGCAACAGCCACCAAGGGAUUAACGUGUCAGAGCAGAUUUAAGUCUCAUAACUUCCAGUUCGUGUUGAGUUCAUGGCUUUACCCAAGGCAUGGUUGAUUUUUUUUUUUUAAGUGCAUUUUAUGUGUCUCGAAGCUUUAUUAUCUUUUGUGUAAGAAAUUGCUGAAGACUUAUUAUUCUUGGGGGUGGGGGUAAGAUAUAUGCGAGUUUAAUGUUUCCAGGAAUUAUCCAAUCAGUCUCCAUCAGGUUGUGCUAGCAUGUAAAAUAUUAAAGUACAAAUUACAUGUCUUUGGUAAUCUCAUAAAAAUAUAUUUCCUCCACUCAUUUUGGCAAGAACCAUGAUGAUUUAAUACUCUCAGUGUUUCUUGUUUAUAGUGUGUGCAUACAUCCCUGGGUUGUCUGAUAUGAUCUCUCCUCCUUUCUAAGAAUAACAUUCAGCAAGUCUUCCAGAAGUUCCACGCUCUGCUAAAGGAAGAGUUCAGUUCUGAAGAUAUCCAGAUCAUUGCCUGUCCCUCCAUGGAACAGCUGAACCUCCUGCUGUCAGUUUCAAAGUAGUCCCAGCGGACCACGCGUGUCAGCAGUCUGUCCCACAGGAGAGGCCUGAGGAGUCCUGCAACCUGCAGGAUGCCCAAGACCCCCAUGUGGGACGGCUCCUGUGGAACAUGGAUGUGCAGCCCGCAGAAGGAAAUCUGGGUGAGCCGGAGAAGAUCAAAAUGCCAAAGACUGACAGCAGGGAUAGCUGCUUCAUUGAACUGGUCUCCAGCAGUGGAGAGAAGUGACAGGGAGCCACGAUUCACAGUGAAAUGUUCCUUCACACAGCUUGUGCAAUAAAGUAGGUUACAGUAGUGACUAGUGUGAUGCACUCAUAGGAACUCAGCUGACUGGAAAGCUGCCGGGUCUCAGCAAGGCAUUCACCCCGGGCAUUCCUCGGACACUGUGACUUGGAGAACUCUUCCUUCUGUGUCCCGAUGCAGAGCUUCUCAUGCUGGGUCGAGCGAGGUUGAGUUGGAAUAGGAUGGUUGCUGCCAAGAAGGCAUCUAGCUUUUCCUGGACUCAGGCUGUCAUCUUUCUGUGGGCUGACACGAGGCAGGGGCAGUUGCGAGAAGCCAAGGCCUCCUGUAAGGCUCCUUGAACUGCAUCCUCCUCACCAGAGAGGUGUAUCUUGAUGAUGGGGAUCGCCACAGUGCUGGCAGCAGCGUGUGAGUGGGAGUGAGCCGUGAAGAGGUUUUAGCCUGGCGAGGCUGGAGAGGAGGCGGGCGGCCUGUGGGGAGUGGCUCGUGGGUGGAGCUUAGUUGCAGUCAUUCUUUAUAAAGUGAAUACUCUUUGGUUGCCUGUGUUGUCCUAGACACUAGCCUUCUGGCGUCCCCAGUCCUGCCAUAGCUGAACACCUAAGUGUGGCAAACACUGCCUGUACCUUAAAUAUGACACCAGUCAAAAGUCAAAGGACUAUAAGCAUCUGUGAAUUUCCCUCCAAAUUCCCCUUUGAAUUUGGGAUUGGAUUGGCUUUGACCCUGGUGUUACAAUAAAUGUAGCCUGUUUCUUGGUUCAGUUACUCAGACCGUCGUCUGUAGGGUGGGACAGUGCUGAGGGCUCUGAAAUAGGGCAGAUGACCUCAUGGUGCAGGUGAAGGGGCAGGAACAGCCUCUUGCACAGUGUGCACAUGGGUGACCCAUCCCGAUGCAACAGGCCAUUGUUUCUCAGCCCAGUUUAAAUUGGUGGUGGCUGUUGCUUGGUAGAGCAUAUUACUCUGUAUUUUGGGAAACUCAAAGGUAAGAGGGUCCAUAUUUUUUCUUUGCUAUGAAAUGAAUGAGUUAGGAAGAUUGUACUUACUAUUUUAAAUACAUGUCUUAUGUGAUAAACUGUAAUCUCCAGUUCUGUGUAUUAUAUGUACAUUGGGUGUUCAGAUAGCCUUUCCAAAGAAGCGAGGACGUGACCAUUGUACAGUGCCAUGGCUCAGCAGUCUGAUGUACAGAGCAGGACUUGUUCGAGGACUCUUGUAGUGCUUUGAUUUGUUUGUUUCUGAAAACACUCACAUACCUUACCAACUGCCGGGAGGGUGGGACUGAUCCAGUUUGUUUGCUGAAUGAAUAUUUGUUUAAAUCUGUACAGUUUCACGUGUUUACUUAUACAGAGUGUACAUACUUUGAAAUAAUUAAUUUAAAAUGCUUUAUAUUAUUUAGCUAGAAAUUGCCGUUUUUAAUAAAUAAAUUUUUUUAAAAAAUAAAGAUCUUUGCUUCCU